ACUUACCUUAAAUUGAUCAGCCGCUUUGAAAUUAACAACACUGAAAACUGCAACACCGCGAAAACAAGGCUUCCUUCACACUACAUGCAAAACGCAACAUCGGCUUCGUCUCUACACAUUCCUGUAUCAAUGGCAACAUCUGGAGUUACUGUGUUGUAUGGCCAUGGCACAGGAAGACAGACAGCUUCGAUCCAGCAUCUGAGCACAUAACUACACAGCCUUCUGGGAGGAGGACCAGAGACACAUCUCCUCUGAGCCUUGAAAAAUUUUGCAGUGCUUUCUUGUUUCCCAAGAUUAGGUCCCCUACCAGAAAGAAUCAUACAGUAACAGAGUUUACUGCUCCAAAGAAAAUAUAAGCAAGAUUAUAAUGGAAGCAUCAAUAGCCUUUUGAAAACAUAACCAAUAACUCUGGAGAUAAUUCUUCAUCUUCCACUCAAGAUAAUAUAUUGCCCAUCUAUAGUCUGUGUAGAAUGAUACCAGUUAAAACUCAAAAGGUAGAAGGCAAUAAAGAAUACACACCUCAGCUCUUGCGUGUGGAGAACCCUAAGAAAACAGGAAGGACUUUGGGUCUCUCUAAUCUUAUAGCACAAGGUAAAUGGCUGUGGGAAAUAUUAGAAAGUGCCUGGCUAUGGGAAGAUACCAUCCAUGGAAGCACUGCUUUUGGACACACGUGUUUGGAAGAAUUGCUGAGCCACGUGAAGUCUUUCUGAACCUCUGAUCAUCGCUAAUGUAUUCCUGUGCCUCUUCUGGCUCUUUCAUACACUUUCAGGAAGGGCUUCUCAAAACUGUAAACGGUACUCAGUCUUGGCACAAAAUAUUAAUGUAGUAGCAUAAUGCUGUUUUCCAAUCUAUUUUUGCUGUCUUUUCCAGCACAAAUUCUCUUUUUUAGAGCAGUGUUAGGCAUGGAACCAAUACCUCCAGGGAACUAUCCAAAAUGAGCCCAAGAUUUUUCUUUUAAAUAACUCUUACUGCAUAGCCACUUUAUUAACAGAUAUCAUGAGAGCUGUCUUUUUUCCUCUUUGUAGCACAGCCUUCCUACAGACUCCACAAGUAGUGAAGACCAGCUACUUACCCACACCUUUGUCUCCUGGUUGUUACCUGCUUGUCAUGGGUUUUUUCAUCCACAGAAUGACCUUCUCCCAGUGUCAUCUGUAGUAAUUUCUGUUGAGGAACAUUGGCAAAGACCUUUUGGAAGCGAGCUGAAUCUGUACAAACUAUCAUUACUUUCCUAAAAUGGAGUCCUGCAAUGAUCUUCAACAGCCUGGAGGGACAUGAUUUUUCCUGCAAAAGAUAUGUCAACCUUUUAUAAUUUUUUCUAAUAUAUUUUAAUUCAGUGUUUUCAGAGAAUCAUAGAAUCACAGAGAUUGGAGAAGACCUCUAAGAUCAUCUAGUCCAACUGUUGACCUACCACCAGUAUUUCCCCACUAAACUAUGUCCCUCAGUACAUCUAAACUUCUCUUGAGCACCUCCAGUGAUGGUGACUCAACCACAUCCCUGGGCAGCCCGUUCCAGUGCUUGACCACUCUUUAAGAGAAGAAAUUUUUCCUAAUAUCCAGUCUGAACCUCCCCUGAUGCAACUUGAGGCCACUUCCUCUAGUCUUAUUGCUAGUUACUUGGGAUAAGAGGCCAACCCCCACCUCGGGGUCUUUGCUGUAGAUUAUGUGUGUCACAGAAUAUGUAGAUUAUGUCAACAGCCUUUCCCUCAUCCACCAGGUGGGUCACUCGAUCACAGAAAGAGAUCAUGUUAAUCAAGCAGGACCCGUCUUUUGUGAACCCAUGCUAUUGGGGCCUGAUCCCCCGGUUCUCCUGCACAUGCUGUGUGAUCUCACUCAAGAUGAUGUGAUGAUUUUAUAGCUUUGUUCCAUUUUACUGGUAUAAAAGUAACAGUUCUAUAGUAGUAAAGUAGUAAAUCUUCACUAAAAUCUCCUAAGAAAUUAAAGUUUUGGUCAACUUUAGUUCCUUUGGUAUUUGUUGACUCUAACUGACACAACUUAAUGCCCAUCUCAUAGCUCAGCAGCUUCAAAAGUGAGUUCCUUUGCAACAUAUGGUUCUGGUCAUUUAUUCCUGUUUAUUGGACGGGGUUUGUUUGAAACCUCUUCUGCUGACACGUCAUCUUGAUACAGUGCCUCAAAUGCUUAACUUCUGAAAAAAGGCGGUGCGGACUCUCCCUGCAGCUCUUUGUGAUGAAUAUCAAUAAAACAAGUCAUUU
ensembl:lncRNA